CACAUGCUCCUUAGAUCCAUCUUUGUGAGUAUCUUUGUGCUGAGUUCUGCUGGAUAACUUCAGUUUCUAGCAGUUCCAGUCAGAGAUACUCAGCAACUUUUCGGUUGUACAGUCAAAGAUGCUUGAGUCAUUGGCAUGUAAGAGUAAUAUAACUGCAUGUCAGCUUUCUGUUCUGAUAGAAGUGGCUGUAAAUAUAAAAGUCAUUUAUCGCUAUCAGGACGUGGCUGGUAUGCAGACAUG
rnacentral:snoRNA from 1 species